rnacentral:ncRNA from 2 species
UAGAUAGGCCAGGGGAGCGGAAGGCCGGAUUCGGCCUGAAGCUGAGAAAUAACCCUAUGAACCUGCUCGGGGUAAUGCCCGCGAAGGAAGGCAGAAAAAGAAGGUA